rnacentral:lncRNA from 1 species
UUUGAAAAUCAUGUUUGGUAAGAGGGGGACUAAAUUAAAUGGGAUUGUAUAGUACAACAGUAAACAAAAAGCCUUACUAGCCCUUCUAGUUUAGCGAGACUCAAACAUGGUUAGCAAAAUAGCGAUUUCGCUAAACAGAGAACGUGAGUCCGACAAUAACCAACUUCUUCUUCUUCACCUAGAACUGUAACCACCAUAGACCCAGCCAAACCACCAGAAUCACCAUAGACCAUCGUCAAACCCAGUCACUGGAACCAACCACCGCCAAUUCAAACCUAGUCACUCGAAUCAACCACCACUAAUUCAAACCCAAUGGAACCACAACCCAAUUGAACCCAAAUUCAACAACCACUGUCAAACCCAAUUGAACCUUCCAAGAAAUCAUCCACCACGAUCAGGACAAUUGCAAAGGGAUACAUCAUUAACGGAGAUGUGGGCUUUCUUGUAUGAGACUGAGAGAAGGAAGUCAUGAAUUCCCAGUCUUGAAGUGGUUUGACAAAAAUUCUAAAAACUAAUUGGUACCCAUUAAAGGAUUCUUCCGGGAAAUGAUAUAGAAGCCAUCAAGUUGAACUUAUGGAAUAAAUAGCUGGUAUUGAAUUUUCAACCUCUGUCUCUGUCUCUCUCUCUCUCUCUCUUUGCAUUUUUUCUCACCUAAAACCCUUGACCACUCUCUCUCUCUCUCUCUCUCUCUCAGUAAAGGUUACAACUUUUAAUCUAGACAGUUGAUUAAGAAGGAAGGAAAAAGAAGAGAGGAAGAAAGAAGGUAAAUAAAAAAUAAUAAAAAAAAGGGUGGCCUGGGAAGGAAGAAGAAGAGAGGAAGAAAGCUAUUAAAAAAAAAAUUGGGCUGGCCUGGGAAGGAAGAAGAAGAGAGGAAGAAAGCUAUUAAAAAAAAAAAAUGGGCUGGCCUAGGAAUUUGGGAAGGAAGAAGAAAAUAGGAAGAAAGAAAAAACCAAAAAAAGAAAAAUGAAACGGGCUGGGAAGGAAAGGAAGAAGAAAUGGAGAAAAAGGAGGAAAAAAAAAAGAAGAAGAAAAGAUAAGAUAGUUUUAGCAAUCUUUAAUUAUUAAAUAUUAGAAUUUUAUUUAUUUAAAAUAAUUAUUUUUUAGUCCGACACAACACCAAACAUAGGUCUUCACUAUUUUUACAAUCCAGCUUCUUAGUCCGACUUAGUACCAAACGUAAGUCAGUACUUAAUCCAACUUAGGCCAAUCCGAGCUAAUUCAAGAAAGUCUCAAGAUUUAGUCCAGUCCAUGACAAUCCGCCGUACCAAAUGACCCCUUAGUGCUAAGAAUGGGUAUAUGACUAAAUAUCUUUUUUUUUUUUUUUUGGAUAUCCAAGGUGUUUUCAUACAUAACAUUGUCACUUGAACAAAAUUGGUCAAGGAUUUAACUCAAUUGAAUAGUAUUACAAAGCAAGUUUCAAAACUUUGAAUCUCAAUAACAGUAUUUAAUUUGUUGUUAUGUGUACUAUCCCGUAUUCUAAGAAUGAAUGAAAACAAAAAUAUUAUGCACGAACAUCAAACCAUUCGACUACAAUGAUCCUACAAAGAUUCAACAUUUGAAAAUUUGCUCACCAUCGUUGCAAUUGUCAAAGUAUUUGGCAUCAACAACCUUGUUGGUAAGAGACCAAAAUGCUUGUUAACUAACCUCUUAAGUCUUUAGAGAUCCAAUUUUAAAUUGAAGUCAAAAUUCAAAGAAAGGAAAAAAAAAUGGUCAAACAAGCAAAGCCAGAAAGCCUAUCAGUACUUUUGAAUCCAAUAAAUAAUAUGAAGACACAUACAAACAAUGAAUAUAUAUUUCCCAAUCAAAUUGGGGUGACCAAACCAGAAACAUAAACACAUGGAUCAAAGAAAGAAAAUUUUGAUCAAAUCAAUCUCUACUUUGCUGAUCAUUCUUCUCUGUGCAGCAAAUAUAACAGAAUCAACAAACCCUAGCAAGAAGCACUUUGUACUGGUUCAUGGUUCCUGCUUUGGUGCUUGGUCAUGGUACAAGCUUGUGACCUUAAUGAAGUCAUCUGGUCACAAUGUCACUGCCAUAGACCUAGCUGCUUCUGGGGUUGACCCACAGCAGGCAAAAGAUCUGCAAUCAAUUUCUGACUACUUCAAGCCCUUGACGGAUUUCAUGGCAGCUCUUGAUCCACCACAUGAUAAGGUCAUCCUUGUUGGUCACAGUCUUGGUGGGUUGGCCAUUUCUCAUGCCAUGGAAAGAUUUCCAGAUAAGAUAUCUCUAGCUGUUUUCGUCACUGCCUUAAUGCCUGGCCCAACCCUCAACAUCUCCACUCUUAAUCAAGAGGUACGUAUUACUUUCAUUAACUUAAGUUGUUGAAAAAUACUUUAAGAUAACUAAAAGUGUUUUUUCUUUUAAUAACUUGCAGAAAUGAACAAAAGUACUUUAUAAGAAAUCACAUAAUUAUCACUUUAAGCGCUUCAUAGAGAAACACUCAUAAGACGCAUGUGUAAUUCACAUAAUGUGCUUCCAGUAUUUUUCUUUUAUAUGCACAUAAUUUAAAUAAAUAAAAAAUAUAUAUAUUUGAAUUAUUAUGGGAAGUUACUUGUCCUUUUAUGUUGAUUAUAUCUUAUUUUCUUUGAUUUAUUUAUUUCUUCUAAUUGGAAUUAUAAAGUCGUUCAGAAGACAAGGAUCUCUAUUAGACAGUAAAUACACAUAUGACCAAGGCCCAAACAAUCCUCCAAUCACUCUCACAUUCGGCCCAUUGUUCUUGGCAACAAACAUGUACCAACUCAGCCCAACUGAGGUAAGUGAAAUCUAACCGUUGGAUCAUCAUCAACCAACAAAAUCCGACCGUUCAUAUUAAACAUAUCAUAAUUUGGUGCAGGAUGUAGCACUAGGCACCAUAUUAAUGAGACCUCAACGCUUGUUUAGUGAAGAGGACCUGUCCAAAGAACUCAAGCUAACCCGUGAGAAAUAUGGGUCGGUCAAUCGAGUUUACGUCUUAUCCGGCGGAGAUUUAUUGACGGAGAAGGAUCUCCAACGGUGGAUGAUUAAGAGGAACAGGCCAAACAGUGUGGUGGAAAUCACAGGAUCUGAUCACAUGGUCAUGAUUUCUAAGCCAUUAGAGCUGUGGGUGCAUAUCCAAAGAAUUUCUGAAAAAUAUUCCUAAUUGUUAAGUUAUUUUGUAAAAAUAAAAGCCAUGGAAAUUGGAUUUCCUAUUAGGCUAAUAUGCAUCAUGUAAUCGUUGUCUUCUAGAUAUCCAACCAGACACUAAAGCAUCAUUUGUCUGGAACCAAUAAUGUAGAUGCAUCCAGGAUAUUUAAUUUCAGAAAUUAAAUAAUUUAGCAUCAUUUGCCUUGGAGUUUAGUGGAUGUGUGACCUUUUUGUAGUGAGCUUCCACAUUUGUUACAAAUUAUGCUCCGGACUUUACGUAUGAAUACAAUCACACCUGCCCUAUCCAUCUACCUUCUUGAUUAAGAUAUUACAUAUAUGUAUACUAUAUAAGAAAAAUAUAUUAGAGAACUUCAAUUAAGAAAUAUCUAAAAUAUGCUUAUUUGAUAAAUACGUUUGUAGAACGCACUUUGUAAAUUAUCUAAAUUAUCUAAUUUUUAGGUAUUCCUUUGAGGAAAAUUUCUGUAAAAAAUUACUUGAAUCGAAAACCAUGUAAUAAUCAGUUCAAUUCAAUAAUUUAGAUACAUCCUUGUAAUGGAGAUUGAAAAUUGACAAUGGUCUCAAACAUUAGCAUAUCAGGUGUAAAUCAUAUGGCCAAAAAAUUUCCGUGACUAAUAUGCAUCAUGUAUUUCUUGUCUUCUAGAUAUCCAACCAGACACUAAAGCAUCAUUUCUCUGGAAUCAAUAAUUUAGAUACAUCCUUGUAAGUUUGGAUUACAAGCAGUUUUGCUGAGUGCUACUAUUGUUAUUUUAGCUCCCUGUGCAUACCGUGCUGUAUAUCGAUCCAGAAAAUAAUGCAUUGUUGUAUAGAGAAGUAGCCUCGCUACAAAAAUAAGUGGCAACAGUCACUAUUAUUUGGUGACAUUUGGUGCCUAUAGUGAGACCAAAAAUGCUUUUUUUGUGACAUUGGCUCUUUUGGGUUCUUUAAGAUGAAUGAACUUAGUAACCUGCUAAAACCUAUCUCAAUCCCAUCCCACAUUUUAAAUUUUUUUGAAUUGCAGUACAAUUUAGAAAGAGCUGCCGCUUAAUUAAUCCAUUUAUGAACAGUUCCUUUUCUGACGUGGGACAGUUGUAUUUGAUCCACCAUUCCUAACAGUGAGCACAAACCUUCACAACCUUCCAAAUCAAAACCUUGAAGCACCUGCUAUUCUCAAACUACUAAUUGACAAGAACCCAUCCAGAUUCAAGAUAAAACUUCAACCACUCAUAUACCAUUCUUCUAUUAGCCUUCUUGCAAAAACAAAAAACAAAAAACAAAAUACCAUUGAGCAGCUUAGCUUCCAAAUCAAAUUCACCAUCCAUGGGAGAGGUUGAUCCAGCUUUCAUCCAAGACCCUGAGCACAGGCCCAAACUCUCCGUCACCGAAGCUGAAGGCAUACCAUUGAUUGACCUGUCUCCCCUAAACUCCUCAGACAACAUUUCUGACCCUAAAGCCAUUGAAGGGGUUGUCAGAGAAAUAGGCAAUGCAUGCAAAGAGUGGGGGUUCUUCCAAGUGAUCAACCAUGGGGUGCUAUUGGAUAAGCACAAAAAGAUCGAGGCUGCUGCUAGGAAAUUUUUUGCUCAGCCUUUGGAGGAGAAGAGGAAGAUCACGAGGGAUGAAAAUAGUUUGUUUGGUUACUAUGACACUGAGCACACCAAGAAUGUAAGAGACUGGAAAGAGGUGUUUGAUUUCGCAGUGGAGGAGCCAAUGUUAAUGCCAGCUUCCCUUGAUCCUGAGAACAAGGAAGAGACAAAGUGGACUAACCGGUGGCCUGAAUAUCCUCCAGAAUUAAGGUAACUCAAUGAUCACUAAGAAGAACGUGCUUAUUUUAGGUAACCACAUCACAUAAUUAUACAAAGAUGAAAACAAAAAACAGAGAAGCAAUAAAAUGGUUAAAGAAAUCUAGAACACCUGUGAUUCAUAAUGAAAAUGCUUAGGAGCCAAUCAAAGAACACUAGCUCUCAAUUGAAAAUAUAACUGUUUGUGCAAAAAGGAACCUUUGCAUUAAAGGGUUAAAUACAAUUUUGGAACUUGAUCACUUAUAUGAUCUAAUAACUAGACACUGCAUGCUUUGAGCAGGGUGGCGUGUGAAGAGUAUACUGAAGAAGUAGAAAAGCUAGCUCUAAAGUUGAUGGGACUUAUAGCCUUGAGCCUAGGCUUGACAGCAGACAGGUUCAACAGCUACUUCAAAGAUCAAACAAGUUUUAUCAGACUCAACUACUAUCCACCUUGCCCUUCCCCCCAGUUAGCUCUCGGCAUUGGGCGCCACAAGGAUAGCGGUGCUUUAACUGUGCUUGCUCAGGAUGAGGUCGGAGGAUUGGAAGUGAAGAGGAAGAGAGAUGGAGAGUGGAUUCAGGUUAAACCUACCCCAAAUGCCUAUAUCAUCAAUGUUGGUGACAUUAUUCAGGUUCCACUCUUCAAACUUCAUACUAAGUACUUGUGCGCAGAUUAUUUUUCAAAAACUUGUUGGAACCAAGGUACCAAUUACUACUAUAGGGUAGCGAUUUUAAGACUCGCAUUUUGCGCAAUUGCAUUUAGCUUCUCUACUUAUUAAUAUACUUUCAUUCUCCAUUUUAUGCAGGUUUGGAGCAAUGACAGAUAUGAGAGUGUGGAACACAGGGUGUUGUUGAAUUCAGAGAAGGGAAGGUUUUCCAUUCCCUACUUUGUCAACCCAGCACACUAUACCCUAGUCCAGCCCUUGGAGGAGCUGACCCAUGAACAAGAAGACCCUGCAAAAUAUAAGCCUUACAGCUGGGGCAAGUUUUUGAAUCACAGAAAGCUCAGUAAUUUCAAGAAACACAAUGCGGAAAACAUCCAGCUUUAUCAUUUCAGGGUUUCGGAAUAAGUUAUGACCCCUCAAAAGAGAAAGACGUGUGGCUAUCCUUUACAAUAAUUAGUCUAUGUACACAAAAAUAAUUGUGCGAUAACAUGGAUUUCUUACAAAUUUUUACAUAGUUAAACGCAAAUUUGAAUGAUGCUACAUGUACCAUAUUUACUUACCGCAUUGUAUCCCAGAUUUCUAAUAAAGUGUGGAUCCACUCACAAACUCUAUUAAAUAUGUGGCUCACAAGUUACAACAUAGUACAGGACAAACUUUGCAGGUGAUAUUGGUAACAUCACAAAGAUUCCAGAUGCUGGGAAACAUACAAAAGGCUUUGUACAUAUGGUCACACUGAUUGCCUGGUGAUCACUCAGACCCAGCAUUUAUAUAUGUAGUGACCCUUCCACCAAGCCAAAAGCAUCAACAAAAGCCAAAACCAAAAGGCUACUUUCUUGGCUUUGAGAUUUUUUCUGUUACAGGACAAAAGGUUGAAGCUUUUACAAGUGCUCUCUACCUUGGCUUUUGAGAUCGCCAUAUCUGAGAGUUUUUUUUACUUGGGGUGUUUACUCACCAAUCUCAAUUGAGUGCUGGUUUAGUUCUAAAUAAGCUUAUUUUCAUCCAAUCAAAGAAUAUCAAGUACAACCAUAUUGCUGCUCUGGCAAACCUCAAGUUUGCAAACCAUAAGAGGAAAAGAAUAGAGUACAAAAACAAGCCAACUAGUGAGAAAAUCUAACGCUAUAUUGUUAGGAAACACAAUAUUUUAUCGAUAUAUGAAAAAUGAUACAAAAAUAAGUACACGAGUUACUUUGUUGCUCAAUGUAAUAUAAAUUGUGGUCAUUCAUAAACAGAGUCCCAAAGGCAAGUAAUAGGACAUAUAUUAUCGGUACUUAGUUUUCAUUAUAGAACUGGAAAGUUUCAGGUAACAUUAUCAAGAAUGCUAUUAAUAAUAACCGACACAUAUAGCCCAAGUUAAGUAUAUACAAUCAAAAAAACGUUCUUAGAACAUGUGCAUCUACUAAGAACGAACCUUGAAAGCUAGAUAAUGGGAAUCUAGAACAACAUCUGCCCAUUUUUGUUUCAAAAUCCCAGUUUCUCUCUCUCUCCUUCCCGCAAUCUGGUAAAAUGAACAUAGGAUCGUAUGACAGAAGCAGAGUGAUAACUCCUUUUCCAGAUUCUAAUAACUAAAUGCUUGCAAAAGCAUUAUAUUCUAGCAAGCCUGAUACAAAAAAGUGGAAUGCUGAUGAGAAUGGACUUAACUUGUCUACCGUGGAUCUUCAAACAGCAUUAUGAUAUUCAUCCAUUGUUUCUUUCAUUGCAUCCAACUGUGACAUGACAUAUUCCAGUUUCUUGCAACAGAUUUCAUUAGCUACUCUUGAACUGUAAUCACACUUCUCAAACGGACGGUAAUCACAUGCACUUUUAAUUUCAUCCCGCAGUGCCACCUGAAUAUCCUGAUUCACGAAAGAAACAAAUAUUCCAAAAUAAGAACUUAGAGUAAGAAUAAUCUCAUUACCAAAAAGAAUAACCCAUCCAAUUAACCAACCAUCUCACUGAAACCAAAACAUUUUGCACCAGAAAAUAUUUCCAUACCAAAAUAAAAUUAGACAAAAAACUUUUAUACUUAAAUGAAAUUUCCAAAUAUACUCUAGGUACUAUGGUCCUUGGUUAAAUUUACAUUAUUGAUCCAAAAUUCAAUAUAGCAUCCAAACCACUGAAUCAAAUAUACUCCCAAUUCAAUUCUAGAAAAGCACAACUUUCUUGAACCCCAAAACCGUCGUCCCAAAAUUUUCCCCUGAUAACAUUAUAAAUGCCAAAUCUGCAAUCUACUUCCAGGCAGAAUUCAAUUUUUGGGUCCCAUUAGCAAAUCUCAGAUUCCAUGACAGCUCCACGAUUAAAUAUUUUUUUUUUUUUUCAGUUACAGAUUACAGAAAUUUUCAGCUAUAUAAAAACACAUAUAUGUAUGCAUUCACAAACACAUGAUAUACCUAGCUACGACCUUGAUUAGCAGAAUAAAACAAAAGACAGACCUUGAUCAAUUGCAUGAACUCACGGCAAUGGUUGUUGAUAAACUCCUUUCUGGGACCACUAGGGUUUGCAAGCUCGUCCAUGACACCUCCAGCUAGCUCCAAAACCUUAACGAUUCUCUGCACAAUCAAGCAAAAAAAUUCUUAUUAUAGAUAUAGUCGGUUCCUAAAGGCAAUUACAUUUCAGUAUUUCAUUGCUUACUUUCUCCACAUUUUGAAGCCUCUGCAACGAGGUGUUCUGGGUCUGUGAAUCCAUGGGGUUCAUCUACGUUUCUGUUUAAGAGAAAGUUCAUUAGUACCAUAGUAUUGCAGAACCAACACCCUGUGCCAUAAAUUUGGGAAGGAGAGAACAAACUCCCAGGAGCUGGGAUACUUUUCUAACUUAAAGCAUGGAACUUCAAAUACCCAUAUGCUUUGAUGAAAAGUCUUUUGCACAAUCCAAACAUUUAAUAGAUUUGUUCUGACAAUGCAGUCACCAACAAACGGGAAAAACCCAAAAAAAUGAGGAACAAUCAAAGCAAAAGCAUACAAAUCAACAAAAACCAGAGCAAAAAUUAUAAAUCAAGCACAUCAAACUCCCAGUAAUCCCAAAAUAAACCAAAACAUCAAGAAAAAACCAAAACAAAAGCACAUAUAUAAAUCAAUAAAACUUGUUGGAGAUUGGAGACUAUUUUCUUUAACGUGUGUGAAGAUUUAACUUAACAAAAACGAAAAGCAUAUUAAACCCUAGAAAUUAAAGAGAAAAGGGAAAGAAUAAGAAAUUGAAAACUAAAAAAAAAACAAAACCUAGACUAAAUUACCUGGGCUGUGGAAGAACUGCACCAACCAACAAGAUCACUGAAUGAAGAACGAGGGGAGAGAACCAACAGAAGCACAGUGGAAGAAGAACGUAAAGAAGGAAAUUCACGCGUAAAAUGUAAAAGGGGUAUCCAGUGGAAAUUGUAAAAAGCCACAAGGGUAGUUUGGGUAGUUAGAAGACUCUAACUCAGAUGAUUUUCUCAGCCCAAAUAAAGAGACCAUGUAAUUAGAUUCAAAGUUUUUUUCUUCGUAGAUUCACUAUUAUAUUCAAUAUAGGAGUCUAAAUUAUAUAUAUAUAUAAAAAUAUAUGCAAUGAAUUUUAGAAAUACACUCAAAGUCUAUUUACAACAUAACAAAAAGACUUUUAACUUCUGUUAAAUUACUAAAUUGUCAUUGAUUUCUUAAAAUAAACCCAACUCAAAAACCUCAUGAAAAAAAAUCUAAAAACACUCAAUAGGGCAUCAAAGUAAUUUAAUAAUCCAAAUUAAAUUAAAUAGGGUUAGUUGUCAUUUUUGGGAUUUUUUUUUUUGUUUCUCGAUCUCUUGGACCACAGGAGUCCAAGAGGUUGUGGUCACCCACCGUUGGAUAUUAAUCUAAUUGUUCAAAAAAAAGCUUCUUAAAAGGCGUGUAAGAGUGAGUGAAUCUUUGAAUUUACAUCCAAUGGUGAGUGACCACAAAUCUCUUGGAACCUUGUAGUCCAAGAGAUCAGGACUGUAUAAAUUAAAUAGUGUAGGAUUUAUUUAUAGUUUUAGGGCAUGUUUGGUAGGCUGGACUGGCUUGGACAGUGUUAAAUAACACUUUAAAAAUCAUGUUUGGUAAGAGGGGGACUAAAUUAAAUGGGAUUGUAUAGUACAACAGUAAACAAAAAGCCUCACUCGCCCUUCCAGUUUAGCGAGCCUCAAACAUGGUUCGCAAAAUAGCGAUUUCGCUAAACAGAGAACGUAAGUCCGACAAUAACCAACUUCUUCUUCUUCACCUAGAACUGUAACCACCAUAGACCUAGCCAAACCACCAGAAUCACCAUAGACGUCAAACCCAAUCACUGGAACCAACCACCGUCAAUUCAAACCUAGUCACUCGAAUCAACCACCACUAAUUCAAACCCAAUGAAACCACAACCCAAUUGAACCCAAAUUCAACAACCACUGUCAAACCCAAUUAAACCUUCCAAGAAAUCAUCCACCACGAUCAGGACAAUUGCAAAGGGAGACACCAUUAACGGAGAUGUGGGCUUUCUUGUAUGAGACUGAGAGAAGGAAGUCAUGAAUUCCCAGUCUUGAAGUGGUUUGACAAAAUUCUAAAAACUAAUUGGUACCCGUUAAAGGAUUCUUCUAGGAAAUGACAUAGAAGCCAUCAAGUUGAACUUAUGGAAUAAAUAGCUGGUAUUGAAUUUUCAACCUCUGUCUCUGUCUCUCUCUCUCUUUGAGUUUUUUCUCACCUAAAACCCUUGACCACUCUCUCUCUCUCUCUCUCAGUAAAGGUUAUAGCUUUCAAUCUAGACAGUUGAUUAAGAA